GGAGAGAUCACUGCACACUGGCUCUUGACCAACAGCACAACAUCUGCAGAUGUGACAGGAAGCUCUGCUUCAUAUCCUGAAGGUGUGAAUGCUUCAGUGUUGACCCAGUUCUCAGACUCUACUGUACAGUCUGGAGGAAGUCACACAGCACUGGGAGAUAGGAGUUAUUCAGAGUCUUCAUCUACAUCUUCCUCGGAAAGCUUGAAUUCAUCAGCACCACGUGGAGAACGUUCGACCUUGGAAGACAGCCGAAAGCCAGGCCAAGCACUAGGUGACAGUUCCGCCAAUGCAGAGGACAGGACUUCUGGGGUGCCCUCUCUCGGCACCCACACCUUGGCUACUGUCACUGGAAACGGGGAACGCACACUGCGGUCUGUCACCCUCACCAACACCAGCAUGAGCACGACUUCUGGGGAAGCAGGCAGCCCUGCAGCGGCCAUGCCCCAAGAAACAGAGGGUGCCUCUCUGCACGUAAACGUGACGGACGACAUGGGCCUGGUCUCACGGUCACUGGCCGCCUCCAGUGCCCUCGGAGUCACUGGGAUUAGCUACGGUCAAGUGCGUGGCACGGCUAUUGAACAAAGGACUUCCAGCGACCACACAGACCACACCUACCUGUCAUCUACUUUCACCAAAGGAGAACGGGCAUUACUGUCCAUUACAGAUAACAGUUCAUCCUCAGACAUUGUGGAGAGCUCAACUUCUUAUAUUAAAAUCUCAAACUCUUCACAUUCAGAGUAUUCCUCCUUUUUUCAUGCUCAGACUGAGAGAAGUAACAUCUCAUCCUAUGACGGGGAAUAUGCUCAGCCUUCUACUGAGUCGCCAGUUCUGCAUACAUCCAACCUUCCAUCCUACACACCCACCAUUAAUAUGCCGAACACUUCGGUUGUUCUGGACACUGAUGCUGAGUUUGUUAGUGACUCCUCCUCCUCCUCCUCUUCCUCCUCUUCCUCCUCAUUCUCUUCUUCCUCCUCCUCCUCCUCCUCUUCUUCAGGGCCUCCUUUGCCUCUGCCCUCUGUGUCACAAUCCCACCAUUUAUUUUCAUCAAUUUUACCAUCAACCAGGGCCUCUGUGCAUCUACUAA
rnacentral:sRNA from 1 species